rnacentral:rRNA from 1 species
AAACUGGGAUUAGAUACCCCACUAUUUUUAGUUGUAAAUUUAGUUUAGACUUACCGGAGUACUACGAAUAAAAAGUUUAAAACUCAAAGGGCUUGGCGGUGUUUUAGACCUCUCAGGGGAACCUGUCUCGUAAUCGACAAUCCGCGUUAAACCUAACCUUUUAUAGCAAUACAGCCUGUAUACCGUCGUCGUCAGGUAACUUCUUAAAAUAUAGUAGUUAGCCCGAGAAUCAGACUAAUUAAAACGUCAGAUCAAGGUGCAGCUAAUAAAAAGGUGAGGAUGGGUUACAAUUACAUAUUUGUAAUUACGGAAAAAUAUUUGAAAUGAAGUAUUUUAAAGGAGGACUUGAAAGUAAUUUUAAUAAUAUAAAUAGAAUGAAUAGGGCUCUGAAACGUGCACACACCGCCCGUCACCCUCUGCAGUCA